rnacentral:rRNA from 1 species
UACGUAGGUGGCAAGCGUUGUCCGGAUUUACUGGGCGUAAAGAGCGCGCAGGCGGUCGUUCAAGUCGCGUGUGAAAGCCCCCGGCUCAACUGGGGAGGGUCAUUCGAUACUGAUCGACUCGAAGGCAGGAGAGGGAAGUGGAAUUCCCGGUGUAGUGGUGAAAUGCGUAGAUAUCGGGAGGAACACCAGUGGCGAAGGCGACUUCCUGGCCUGUUCUUGACGCUGAGGCGCGAAAGCUAGGGUAGCAAACGGG